rnacentral:rRNA from 1 species
UACGAAGGGGGCGAGCGUUGUUCGGAAUUACUGGGCGUAAAGGGCGCGUAGGCGGUGUGUCAAGUCAGGCGUGAAAGCCCCGGGCUCAACCUGGGAACCGCGCUUGAGACUGGCACGCUCGAGUCCGGGAGAGGAUGGUGGAAUUCCCAGUGUAGAGGUGAAAUUCGUGAGAUAUUGGGAAGAACACCGAUGGCGAAGGCAGCCA